rnacentral:rRNA from 1 species
AUUGAACGCUGGCGGCAGGCCUAACACAUGCAAGUAGAGCGGAGCGGCGGACGGGUGAGUAAUGCCUAGGGAUCUGCCUGGUAGUGGGGGAUAACGACCGGAAACGGUGGCUAAUCCCGCAUACUAUCGGAUGGGCCUAGGUAGGAUUAGCUAGUUGGUGGGGUAAAGGCAUACCAAGGCGACGAUCCGUAACUGGUCUGAGAGGAUGAUCAGUCACACUGGAACUGAGACACGGCCCAGACUCCUACGUGAGGCAGCAGUGGGGAAUAUUGGACAAGGGGCGAAAGCCUGAUCCAGCCAUGCCGCGUGUGUGAAGAAGGUCUUCGGAUUGUAAAGCACUUUAAGUCGGGAGGCGUUACCGACAGAAGAAGCACCGGCUAACUCCGUGCCAGCAGCCGCGGUAAUAC